CCUACAAGGCCUUUACUGACGCUAAAGCUCGAAGGUGCGGGUAUCGAACAGGAUUAGAUACCCUGGUAGUCCGCACGGUAAACGAUGGAUGCCCGCUGUUUGCGAUAUAGUGUAAGCGGCCAAGCGAAAGCGUUAAGCAUCCCACCUGGGGAGUACGCCGGCAACGGUGAAACUCAAAGGAAUUGACGGGGGCCCGCACAAGCGGAGGAACAUGUGGUUUAAUUCGAUGAUACGCGAGGAACCUUACCCGGGCUUGAACUGCCGGCGAACGAAACAGAGAUGUUGAGGCCCUUCGGGGCGCCGGUGGAGGUGCUGCAUGGUUGUCGUCAGCUCGUGCCGUGAGGUGUCGGCUUAAGUGCCAUAACGAGCGCAACCCUUUUCCUUAGUUGCCAUCAGGUAGAGCUGGGCACUCUGGGGACACUGCCACCGUAAGGUGUGAGGAAGGUGGGGAUGACGUCAAAUCAGCACGGCCCUUACGUCCGGGGCUACACACGUGUUACAAUGGGGAGCACAGAGAGUCAGGCGCCGGCAACGUUGCCUUAAUCAAGAAAUCUCCCCUCAGUUCGGAUUGGGGUCUGCAACCCGACCCCAUGAAGCUGGA
rnacentral:rRNA from 1 species